rnacentral:lncRNA from 1 species
UUAUCUCUUCCACCUUAAGCUAUUCACACACACAUACAUUAGAUUCCGGUUAUAAGAUGUGAAACUAUCUCACCCUCUAAGCUUGAGAAAUCAUAAUUUGACACCUUUAACCUCUCUUUAAUAGUGUUGGGACACCUCAUAAAGACCAAUGAGUCUUUGAAAAAAAGAAAAAGAAAAAAAAUAAAAUAAAAAUAAAAUAGAAUAAACUUCUUUGCUUGCCUUGAAACCUGAGCAUGGUCCGAAGGGGUGGCGAAAGCCUUUAAA